rnacentral:rRNA from 1 species
UAAAAUCCGUUGAUCCAUUGAAGACCACCAGUGGCGAAGGCGGCUUGCCAGAACGCGCUCGACGGUGAGGGAUGAAAGCUGGGGGAGCAAACCGGAUUAGAUACCCGGGUAGUCCCAGCUGUAAACGAUGCAGACUCGGUGAUGAGUUGGCUUAUUGCUAACUCAGUGCCGCAGGGAAGCCGUUAAGUUUGCCGCCUGGGGAGUACGGCCGCAAGACUG